AUGAAUAAAAAUCAUAAGGCAAUCUUAUGUUAUUUCGUGUGUUCAUUCCUGAUGGUUCAUUCCCAGGAAAAUGUCAACUCUGUUUGUUUUGUUUUUACAACACGGUCGACCACAUUUUUUAUUAUUUAGCCGAUUCAGCUUUUCACAAAUAAUAAAUGCAAUAUUCCGGUUCUGGACGAUUUUCCGUUAUCAGAUACAGCAGAUCCAACGGAUGUGGCAACGGCCCAAGGUUAGAGGCCACAGAUGAUAGCUGCUAUAUUGUAUACACCGAUAGCUGCAAAACGUAAGCUCACUAGACACCAAGUUAGUCCAUAAACUCCAGCGUAUUCGUUAUCCAGUCACACUCAAGGUCACACUAGAAUUUCUCUGAAGAAUUUCGUUAGCAUGUGUAUGAGCAAGUGUAUGAGUUUCCUGAAACGGGCAUGUGUCCCCUAAAAUGUAAUUCUAGUUGCAAGCAGCAAAGGGCAGUACGUUUAUUUUGCUGGUGGCGUUUCUUGUAAGACGGAUGAUAGAAGCAAGAUUUUUUCACAAGGUUGAAUCACAAGGUGAAUCAGACAUCGAUCCAGAAAUGAAGAAGAGCAUUGUAGGAGCAUUUUUCCCUGAAAAAAUAAAUCGCGCACGGCCGGAGAAAAUUAUUUCAAGAUCCACUUAGAUCAGUCGAAAUUUCAUCAACAUCAAAUAAGUGAUCAUUUCGGCAUAGUAAGAUACAAGUUUAUUUCGGCCGGAUAUGGCAAUCUAGAUUCGCUAUAUAUAAUCUGCUAUUCAAUCAAACUGAACGGAAAUCAAUUGAUUGGGGCGUGCGCAAACCGAUCAAAGAAGAAAUGGAUUCGGAAAGUAAGGAAACAAGAGUGUCCAGUACUUUGAGCGGAUGUUUUGAUAUCUUGUCUCAGCUUUUGCUGCUAGCCAGCUGGGAGAUGCAAAGCGGGAAAGUCGUUUUUAAAUAUAAUGGUGAAAUAUCGAUCUAUUUCACUUCGGAGAAUGAGAAAUCGCAUCUUGCUUGAUAGCACCCCUGUUUUGGAAAGUGCUUUUUUACUGGUGCCAUCAUAGCUGCGGUGCUGUUGAAAGUUGAAAGUCAAUCUCACCUGAACGGGCCAGUAUGAAUCUUUAUCAUCGUAUUUGCGAAGAAAACCGGGUCUAGUUACCAUAUCGAAAGGUUCCGAUGCAGGCAUGGUGCAAUCUCAAUUCAGCAACAAAACCGUACUAUGGAGACUGAAUUGUACACUGAACGACUGAGUCAGCGUUGCAAAAUCCCACGCAUCUCGACUACUGAACAUAAACGACAACAGCUAGCUGUUUAUAUAUAAGAAAAAACAUCGUGCAGCUAUGAAGCGAAAGAUGACCCGGGAUGCCUGUCGAGUAAAAUUGACGUUGAAACUGUGUUCGGAACUGGAAUUGACUUCUAACCAUUUCGAUCGUUAUCUGCAGUUACCAUGGAAAUAGCAUUGAUGUUUCUUAUAUUAGUAUAGUAUUGUGAAUUGCGCCGAAAAUUUUGUUGAGUGACUGCGAUAUCAGUACCGAUGUGAUGGACUUCAUCGGGUGUCUCUUUUCGGCUAAAGCAGUUGCAAACUGUCUGAACAUGACCACCUAGAAGGUAACCGACGAACGUCCUUGAUAUAUACGAGAUGAUGCUAUGAGCCGUUCUGCCGUGCGAUACGGAGGGAAGUUUAGUAAUAAGAUUUAUCAAGCUUAUCGUAGCAAGCACAUUAGUAUACGACCAGCAUGCUGAUUAAAGCGGAGUUUGAGUGAUUCAUGCAGCAAUUUUCUGAAUAGAUCCAGGCUGCAGUAAAUUGCAGAUAAACAUACUACGGUCAUAUCGUUGCUUAUAACUUCGACACCGUUGCCUCGAAUGUUGCCGACCGUUAGCACUAUCACCAUCAGUCGCUUCGCGAUGAGCGCCACAGUUCAGCCAGCUUUAUUAUCAGCACCGAGUGCUGCUUCAGCAUGUUAAAACUGUAUCCGCAUUGAAGUGGCCAACGACCAUCUUUUUAGCAGGCCUAUGUUUUCAUGUCCGAAAUAGUAAAUAAUCGUACAACAUAUUUAAUUUAUCAAAAAUCAAAUUGUAUUAGGACCAGGAUUAGGACCUCA